rnacentral:rRNA from 1 species
UACGGACCGGACAAACGUUAUUCGGAAUCACUGGGCUUAAAGAGUUCGUAGGCGGCUCAGCAAGUUGGGUGUGAAAUCCCUCGGCUCAACCGAGGAAUUGCACUCAAAACUGCUGAGCUUGAGGAAGGUAGGGGUAAGCGGAACUGAUGGUGGAGCGGUGAAAUGCGUUGAUAUCAUCAGGAACACCAGUGGCGAAGGCGGCUUACUGGGCCUUCUCUGACGCUGAGGAACGAAAGCUAGGGUAGCGAACGGG